CUGUUAACUUCAGCAAAACUUGUUUUCAAUGUACUGUUUUCAAUGGUUCCGAUCGAGAGUUCCUAUCAAUUGUUCUAUGUGGGGCUUUAAUUAGUGGGACACCUACGUAAACUAUAUCGCUUCUCCUUUAAGCGUUCGCACUCAGGCGCAUGGUGUAUUGCAGACGGGGAAGCGGAGGAAUUAGAGAGUAACGUUAGGCCUUCUCGAAUGUCCCUAAUUUUGCCUCACUUCUCUGUUUAAGGUGAAUAAAUAACACUUAGUAUCAUCACUUCAGUCGUUGAGUGGUCGUGUUUCCAUGGUG